GAGGAAUCUUGCGCAAUGGGGGAAACCCUGACGCAGCAACGCCGCGUGGGUGAAGAAGGCCUUCGGGUCGUAAAGCCCUGUCAGGUGGGAAGAACCGCCCGGGUGCAAAUAGCGCCUGGGCCUGACGGUACCACCGAAGGAAGCACCGGCUAACUCCGUGCCAGCAGCCGCGGUAAUACGGAGGGUGCAAGCGUUACUCGGAAUCACUGGGCGUAAAGCGCGCGUAGGCGGUGAGGCAAGUCAGGUGUGAAAGCCCUCGGCUUAACCGAGGAAGUGCACUUGAAACUGCCUUUCUUGAGUACGGGAGAGGGAAGUGGAAUUCCCAGUGUAGAGGUGAAAUUCGUAGAUAUUGGGAGGAACACCGGUGGCGAAGGCGACUUCCUGGACCGAUACUGACGCUAAAGUGCGAAAGCGUGGGGAGCAAACAG
rnacentral:rRNA from 1 species